GACGAACGCUGGCGGCGUGCUUAACACAUGCAAGUCGAACGGUGAAGCUCCAGCUUGCUGGAGUGGAUCAGUGGCGAACGGGUGAGUAACACGUGACCAACCUGCCCCUGACUCUGGAAUAAGCGCUGGAAACGGCGUCUAAUACUGGAUACGAGAAGGGUCCGCAUGGGCACUUUCUGGAAAGUUUUUCGGUUGGGGAUGGGCUCGCGGCCUAUCAGCUUGUUGGUGAGGUAAUGGCUCACCAAGGCGACGACGGGUAGCCGGCCUGAGAGGGCGACCGGCCACACUGGGACUGAGACACGGCCCAGACUCCUACGGGAGGCAGCAGUGGGGAAUAUUGCACAAUGGGCGAAAGCCUGAUGCAGCGACGCCGCGUGAGGGAUGACGGCCUUCGGGUUGAAAACCUCUUUCAGCAGGGAAGAAGCGAAAGUGACGGUACCUGCAGAAGAAGCACCGGCUAACUACGUG
rnacentral:rRNA from 1 species